rnacentral:lncRNA from 1 species
GCAAAAGUCUAGAAGGUCGUCUCUAUUCCUCCACAUAAUUAUGCCGUAUGCAGCCGACAUAAUUCAUCUAGCAGAAACAGACACUCCUUCGAUCACUCCCUCCACUUUAGAAGGAGUUAAACAACUCAAUUGCUGACUUUCGCAAUAAGUCACGCCUCUCGCGUCUUGCUUUCCUAAGAUCUGCCAAGCCUAAGGUUUUUUAGGUUCCAACAACCUAAUUCUCGGCUCUGAUACCAACUUAAUCUGUCACACCCUAGAUUGCCACGUUUCCCCGGGCAUGCCAACAGACUCGCCAUAUACACAGGGAUUUUUCGUGUAUACGAAGCGAUAG